rnacentral:misc_RNA from 1 species
GAUAUAUUGUGGAAAGUGGAGGAAAUGGCAGGAGGAGAUGGCCAGAACAUCACCCGAGUUCUCUUUUGUGGGCCACAUUUUCCUGCUUCGCAUAUUUACACUAAGGAAUACUUGCAAAACUACCCUUUUAUCCAGGUUGAUGAUGUUCCUCUCAGUGAUGUGCCUGAUGUUAUAGAGAAGUAUGACAUCUGUGUUUCCAAAACUAUGCGGCUUGAUUCUAAUUGUAUAUCUCGUGCUACUCACAUGAAGCUUAUAAUGCAGUUUGGUGUUGGCCUAGAUGGUAUUGAUGUUGAUGCUGCUACAAGGUGCGGGAUCAAAGUUGCUAGAAUUCCAGGUCACAAUACAGGAAAUGCAGCAUCAUGUGCUGAAAUGGCUAUAUAUUUUAUGUUGGGCCUUCUCCGUAAGCAGAAUGAGAUGCAAUUUUCUGUAAAGCGGAAAAAGCUUGGAGUUCCAGUUGGUCAAACCCUACUUGGCAAGACAGUAUAUAUAUUGGGAUUUGGAAACAUUGGGAUUGAAUUGGCAAAGCGUUUAAGACCAUUUGGUGUAAAAAUGAUUGCCACAAAACGGAG